CCCCCAGUCCCUCCAAAGCCUCCGAAGGCAGCAGAGGCAGCGCAGCAGAGGAAAGCCACCUUAGGUGCAGCAUCUCUGCAGCUGAAGCUCUCAACUCUGUGACCUGAGGACCUUAAGGUGCUGCUGUCACCCUCUCUGAGGUCACAGGAGCUGCAGUGUGCACCAAGAGAACAGUGACCUCUACUGACCACCUCUCUGGGAGGAGAGCAGGCAGCAGAGACGGACCCCGUGUUGGCAGCUGCCAUAACCCGAAUCAAGCCGGCGCAAACCAGACAGCCCCGACCCCCUGCUGGAUCAGCAAACUUUCUGUUGCUGCAGUUACACAGGAAAGCAGUUCACAGCGGUGAGGAGAAAGGUGGAAGGACAGCGGGGUGGCUAGGACCUAAUCCUUGUCUCAUUUGUGGUCUGAUAAAACAGCGAGACAAAGAGCAGGACAAGGAGGGGCUGAGUAAAAGUGCUGCUCACAACGAUGGAAUAAGAUUAAAUAAAUCAAGUUGCCGUGGAGACGGGUCAGUGUGCAGGAGGCAGAGCAGGGUUUGGUCCAAGCUCGCUGGGACUGAAGAGGAGGCGGCGGUUUGGAACGGGAUGGACCGCAUUCAGUUCCAGGGCUUUCCAGAACCUCCCAGGGGCUUCAUUAAAACAAAAGGAGGCGGAGGAGGAGGAGACGUUCUCCAUCAUGCUGCAGCAGCCUGUCUCGUCUAUUCCGAGCAGCUCAAACCUGCUGUCAGAGGGCUGCCAGAUUAUCCUCUGCUCAAGUCAUCUAUGACCACUACAGACCUCCACUGGUGACCAGCAGGAACUGCAACAACAUCAACUUCACCAAGCCUCACCCAUCCUGUCCCAUUAGGCUGCACUCACACCAAAUCAGGCAUUGUGGUGAUUAUCUGCAGGGCUGUGUGGCGUUGUGGAAGUGUCACUUUAGUGGCCCAUUUGGGUGGGGGUGGAGAGAAAAGCCACUCUUCCUGUUUCAGUAACUGAGUGUCUUUAGUGUUUGUCAGCUUAAAAGAUCUCUGAAGAAUUUCUUUUGAUUAUAAUUACUGUAACAUCUUUACAGCCACCAAAGACAAACAUGUGUGCACAGGUUAGGUGAGGGCUCUCUUUUGUAGGAUACUACACAAAAGCUAUUAAUAUACAUGUUAUUUAUUUUACUUGCUAUAAAUUUUAACAACAGGAAGAGACCGUUGUUUCCGAGGACUGUGGGCGUAAUCGCAGGUUACGUGACUGGCCACUACAAAAGCUGAAUCUGUUUCAACUUUUUGCCUCCAACCACUGCGUCUUUUCUGUUUCCCCUCCUGCUCCACCGCCACCACCUAGAUGCACUAUCCACAUUCAAAUGAAUCAGGGGGAGAGACGUUUUCACUGUGAUGCCAAAUUUGGUGUUAAUGCCUUACAGCCGAAAUACAGGCCGCAACUCUUCUCUUCUUAGUUUAUAGUGAUCGAUGUGACCCAGACAGACAUGAUCACGAUCGCAAACAGCUUAUUUACGCGUCCAGCAGACACUGAGCGACAUUAUCAUUUAUUUUGAGUCACGUUUGCGUCCACCAGAUGAAUACAAGUCAAUAUUCACAUUUUCUUUUAGCUCUAUUUUGAUCUCCACCAACUCCACCAACCAAGUGUGCAGUGGGUUUAUCAAAGGAUUUUAGCUGAAAAGAGUUGCUGCUGGAAACAACACUGAUGAGAGUCAAAAACAAAACGGUGAGCUGAAAGGUUCUAAAAUGCUCUGUGGAGUUGAGAGGAAUAGUGGGUUCUCCAACACAUUCUCGUUCCAAGUCGUCACGUUUAGCCGCUUUGUCACCGGCCUUUUUACAUCUAGAUUUUACACGCUAGGUAUCCUCCUGCAUCUGCUGUUGACAUUCCAGGACGCCACAACCAAAGCGGGGAUGUCAACAAAAGCACAUUGUGAGGUUCAGAAAAAACAUCAUGAUUUGGCUCUACCUUCAUAUUCCAGCAAACUCCAGGCUCCUGGGUGAAAGUCCAGGGUUUGCUGAACCCGUCCACCCAACACAUUCUCACCCCAACCUGGUCACAUAUCGACGUUUGGUCAUGUCCAGAUACAACAUGCAAGGUACCCUGGGUGCGUUGGUUGUUGACGCUCUGGGACGCAAUGUCAACUUCUGCCAUGCAUUGUUAUCUUUCAAAAUACACUUCUGUUUUCACAGGAAAUGUACAGUUUGCAUAGUCUUUUUCAAAAUAAAAGCACUAUAUCAGUACAAUGCAGCGUAUCAACGUUUUUUUUCCCUUCAAAAACAAAUGCAUGUGGUUGAAUUUUUGUUCUUUCCCCCUGACGCCGGGAGCCUGUGUUAAACUGUAAAGGCGACUGGCUACAUGUCAUGCCAACAUUAAGGGAGAGCUUUUUUUGUCGGUGUCUGAUUGCUGCCCCAGAACCAGAUUUUGAUGAUCCACCACCCCUCCUGCUCACCCACCGGAAAUGGGAGUUUCCAGAUCGUUAUACAAUGUCGUCACCGCCAGCUUUUCAACCUGACGCUGUCCAGCAGUGUAUCAUACCGUCGCAACAGGUGCUGUCUGGCCGACUGGCAACAUAUCAUUACAUCUCAAAAAGUUUUGUUUGACCGCGCUACAAACAGCCUAUCACACGGCUGCAAGAGAUGGCUUUUGGCAUCAGGUUUCUGAUGCAGAAAUCACUGACAAAGCAACUGUGUUUGGUGCCUUCUGAAUGAGAAUGGGCCGGGCUCUCUUACUGUCAGUUUGAUUUUCAGUGUGACAGGUUUAUUUUAACUGGUUAAACUGGUGCAGUUAAACAUUUGGUGCUCAUGGACAGCUAAAUACAUGCUUUAAUGCAGGCGUCUGUGUUUUGAUGUCAUAGUGAUGUCACAGUUGCUAUGCACACAUUUCUUCUUUUAUUUAUUUAUUUUUUUACAAUGUCCAGUUGCAACAUUAAUUGCUUAUUUGUAGCACUAUUGAGCAUGACAACUGCAUAAUGAAUAACGUGUGGGGGGGAUUGGAAAUCAUCUCCAUGCUGCUUUGUUCCAAAACUGAGAAUCAGCCAGAAAAGUGAGAGCCAGAAAUAUCAGCACGGAAAACUAAUCCAUGAGUCACUGCUGAUGAUAAACAAUCGUAUCAACUCUCUUCUUCUGCAGUUAUUUUGGAACAGAAAAUGUUACUUAUACGGCUACACAAAGGCUGAAUUCAGCAGCGAGCGCAUGAAAUGAACCUGUGUUAAGAUACAAAGAGUGGAGAGGAGAAGAACACCUGGAAUCUGACAGUUGCAUCAGUGCAGUUCAUCAUCCAGCAGGAAACAAUAGAGAUGUUGUCGGUCUGAAGCAACAGACCCACUCAGGAACCAGUGUGGACGACUGCCACUUGGAUCAGAAACUGUUUUCCAUAAAUCUGAAUUAUGUUUCCAUUUUUAGGUGUUUAAGAUGACACUCCUGAUAAUAAUCCUGUGACCGAAGAAAUAUCCCGGAAAAAAUAGAGAUGACAGGAAAAGAAAUAAGAGAAAAAGAAAGGGAAUACUUUCACUGACCAGAGAUCAUUGCAGGAAUAUUAACUUUAUAUUCAUGAUAUUGGAUUUUAGCUACAAAACUGUCAGAUUACACCACAUGUGGAGUCAUUCUCUGACUGAUUUACUUAUUAUACACAAAUAAGAAACUCAAACUGAACAAGAAAUCAGAUGUAAAAUUAUCUUUUUUAAGAAGAUUUGCACCUUUGAACAAAGAAAAUGACGUUGUUGAACACUUGUUGUGAUCUUGGCCUCGUUAUCAAUGUUCUCCAAGCUGAAUAAAUAAACUGAGUAAAUGAA